GGGUCGCUGGGCUAGUGGUAUGCUUCAUCCUUCGGGAAACCAUUUUUCCAAGUAGUAAAACUACUUUCCUGGAUGAGGUCCGGGGUUCGAUUCCCCGGUGACCCC
rnacentral:tRNA from 1 species